AGUGAACGCUGGCGGCAGGCCUAACACAUGCAAGUCGAACGGUAACAGGAAGAAGCUUGCUUCUUUGCUGACGCGUGGCGGACGGGUGAGUAAUGUCUGGGAAACUGUCUGAUGGAGGGGGAUAACUACUGGAAACGGUAGCUAUUACCGCAUAUCGUCGCAAGACCAAAGAGGGGGACCUCCGGGCCCCUUGCCAUCGGAUGUGCCCAGAUGGGAUUAGCUAGUAGGUGGGGUAACGGCUCACCUAGGCGACGAUCCCUAGCUGGUCUGAGAGGAUGACCAGCCACACUGGAACUGAGACACGGUCCAGACUCCUACGGGAGGCAGCAGUGGGGAAUAUUGGACAAUGGGCGCAAGCCUGAUGCAGCCAUGCCGCGUGUAUGAAGAAGGCCUUCGGGUUGUAAAGUACUUUUAGCGGGGAGGAAGGGAGUAAGGUUAAUACCUCUGCUCAUUGACGUUACCCGCAGAAGAAGCACCGGCUAACUCCGUG
rnacentral:rRNA from 1 species